CAUUGAAACAUCGGUUCCCGUACGAUCACCGAAUUUAAGCAACGUCGAUCCUGGUCACUACCUAGAUGAGUGACCACUUGGGAAUACCAGGUGCUGUAAG
rnacentral:rRNA from 1 species